UGCACGCCGCUUUACGGGACAGGCACGUGUGACCCACCGGUGAUGCACGCUAGCGUCAACGUGUUAAUACCAUAAAGCAUACUCAUAUCGCAACAUUUCAUCGGUAUGACAGGUUUCCUAACCUGGCAAGUCGUCAACUUUGACGAUUAAUAACUCACUUUGCGAGGCACAGCAACACUUUUUCUUCCAGAUUCUUUCGUUUCGUGCAAAAACUCAUCGAAUAAGCGUAAUUUCAUCGAUAUUUGUACUGAUGUAGCUAAACUAAAUAAUUACUAUUGCUUUUACUAUGGUACAGCCGCCGGAAGGACAUUAUUAAAAAAGGACAGUCUUCUAUUGUUAUAUCUUACAUCAGCAGAUGUAUCUAUACAGGAAGAAAGAAACGAAUUUUCAAAUAGUGAGUCUGAAUUAUCAUACAAAUUCUUUGCAUCAACAAGUGAAACAAAUAAAACAUGUUGUACUGAGGACACUGCUAUAAAAAGAUCUGGCGAUGUCCUUGAGGAUGAAAUCCCAAAGAAGCAAAUUUGUUUGGAGAAUAGGCUUGUGGAAAAAUCAGCUACAGAUGAUUCAGUUGAAUCUUAUCGGUUGCAAGAAAUAAGAAAGGAAUUAAUUACAAAAGGUAAAACAAUAUCUUUUUUAAAACGGCAAGUUUGAUGAUUAUGUUAAAUGAAAUAUUCCAUAAAACAUAAUCAAAGAACUUAUAUUUGUCAUAUUUGACAUAUGUCAUGCCAGCAAACUAGUACGGAAUACAUUUGGAGAUAAAACAAUAUUAACAGAUGGUGAUGGAAAUACAAUCAAGUGAGAUUAUUUGUAAAAAUUAGUUGCGUAUCAAUAUCAAUAUAGUUUAUAUGCUGGAAUUAGAAUUAAAAAACGUCACUUAAAUUUUUAAAUAGAGAAAAUCAGAAUUCGCUUAGCUACUCAAGUAUUAAGUUGUAGUGUUGGUAACGCAUUAUAUUUUCUGAGAACAUCAAUCAAACUACCUGAAUUUUUAAAUUCUUUUGGUACAGAGAAAUUUUGUACGUUGAUGAAUAAUACUUUUGACUUGCUCAAUUCGAGACAAAAGUAUAUCAAAGAUUCAAAUAAAAGUUUUAUUAAUUGGAACAAUAUUAUUGAAUUUCGAUCAAAAGUUAUGGAAUAUGAAAAUUACAUUAUAUCGUCUCAUUAUGAUAAUACACUAAUUUUGAAUACUAAACAAAAAUUAGGUUUUUAUAGCUUCAUAGUAUCAAUAUGAAGUUGUAUAGCUAUAUUUAAUUAAUAUACAUCGACUAAUAAGUCACCUCUACA